rnacentral:lncRNA from 1 species
UUUGAGACUCCUGGGAUAAAUUAACCAGAUGCCUCGGCGUACGACAGGUACGCGACCAAUGCCCUUUCAUCCCACACCUAAAACAAACAUCUGGUUUGUUCUUUAUCUAUGUUGCAUUUUCUUUAUUUUUACCCGACCCAGACACUUGCCACUUCUGGUGGCCUGAAUUGUCGCGGUUUCGAAAUUUGUUGUUAUGAUGGCCUCGUUUAUUCUU